AUUGAACGAUGGCGGCAUGCCUAACACAUGCAAGUCGAGCGGCUCGACGGACGGGUGAGUAAUUCCUAGGAGUCUGCCUGGUCGUGGGGGAUAACGUCCGGAAACGGGCCCUAAUCCCGCAUACUCUCAGAUGAGCCUAGGUCGGAUUAGCUAGUUGGUGGGGUAAAGGCCUACCAAGGCGACGAUCCGCAACUGGGCUGAGAGGAUGAUCAGUCACAUGGGAACUGAGACACGGUCCAGACGCCUACGGUAGGCAGCAGUGGGGAAUAGGGGACAAUGGGGGAGAGCAUGAUACAGCCAGCCCUCGUGUGUGAAGAAGGUCUUCGGAUUGUAAAGCACGUUAAGUGGGGAGGCGGUACCAACAGAAUAAGCACCGGCUAACUUCGUGCCAGCAGCCGCGGUAAUAC
rnacentral:rRNA from 1 species